rfam:Callithrix jacchus chromosome 4, whole genome shotgun sequence
GUUUCCGUAGUGUAGUGGUUAUCACGUUCGACUCACACUCAAAAGGUCCCCGGUUUGAAACCGGGCGUGAAACA